UUACGGUCACAUCACGUUGAAACACCGGUUCUCGUACGAUCACCGAAGUUAAGCAACGUCAAACAUGGUCAGUACUAGGUAGGCAACCUGAGGAAUACCAGGUGCUGCAAG